UGUACCUGAAGUCUGACGAGGAUGAGAACCUCCGGGGGCAAGAGGUUCGACUCGAGCGAAGCGAGAGAACGUUGCGUCAGCAACGGCCCGCAGGGCGAGCCACGCAGUGGCGAGUCAUCCUCUAUCACCGACCA
rnacentral:sRNA from 2 species